UCGAGUGAGCUAUCUAUCCUACGGAAUAC
rnacentral:sRNA from 1 species